AAUCAACGCUGGCGGCGUGCCUAACACAUGCAAGUCGCACGAGAAAGUGGAGCAAUCCAUGAGUAAAGUGGCGCACGGGUGAGUAACACGUGAAUAAUCUACCUCCGAGUGGGGAAUAACUUCGGGAAACCGAGGCUAAUACCGCAUAACACUUACGAGUCAAAGCAGCAAUGCGCUUGGAGAGGAGUUCGCGGCAGAUU
rnacentral:rRNA from 1 species